rnacentral:rRNA from 1 species
UACGGGGGGGGGUAAGCGUUGUUCGGAAUUACUGGGCGUAAAGGGCUCGUAGGCGGCCAACUAAGUCAUACGUGAAAUCCCUCAGCUUAACUGGGGAACUGCGUGUGAUACUGGAUGGCUUGGAUUUGGGAGAGGGAUGCGGAAUUCCAGGUGUAGCGGUGAAAUGCGUAGAUAUCUGGAGGAACACCGGUGGCGAAGGCGGCAUCCUGGACCGGCAUUGACGCUGAGGAGCGAAAGCCAGGGGAGCAAAGCGGG